UACGAAGGGGGCUAGCGUUGCUCGGAAUUACUGGGCGUAAAGGGCGCGUAGGCGGACAGUUUAGUCAGAGGUGAAAGCCCAGGGCUCAACCUUGGAACUGCCUUUGAUACUGACUGUCUUGAGUUCGGGAGAGGUGAGUGGAAUGCCGAGUGUAGAGGUGAAAUUCGUAGAUAUUCGGCGGAACACCAGUGGCGAAGGCGACUCACUGGCCCGAUACUGACGCUGAGGCGCGAAAGCGUGGGAAGCAAACAGG
rnacentral:rRNA from 1 species